UGGGGAAUAUUGCGCAAUGGGGGGAACCCUGACGCAGCCAUGCCGCGUGAAUGAAGAAGGCCUUCGGGUUGUAAAGUUCUUUCGGUAAUGAGGAAGGGAUGUUAUUAAAUAGAUAGCAUCAUUGACGUUAAUUACAGAAGAAGCACCGGCUAACUCCGUGCCAGCAGCCGCGGUAAUACGGAGGGUGCGAGCGUUAAUCGGAAUAACUGGGCGUAAAGGGCACGCAGGCGGACUUUUAAGUGAGAUGUGAAAUCCCCGAGCUUAACUUGGGAACUGCAUUUCAGACUGGGAGUCUAGAGUACUUUAGGGAGGGGUAGAAUUCCACGUGUAGCGGUGAAAUGCGUAGAGAUGUGGAGGAAUACCGAAGGCGAAGGCAGCCCCUUGGGAAUGUACUGACGCUCAUGUGCGAAAGCGUGGGGAGCAAACAGGAUUAGAUACCCUGGUAGUCCACGCUGUAAACGCUGUCGAUUUGGGGAUUGGGCUAUAUGCUUGGUGCCCGAAGCUAACGUGAUAGAUCGACCGCCUGGGGAGUACGGCCGCAAGGUU
rnacentral:rRNA from 1 species